GAUGCUACAGGGACACCCAGGGGUCAGAGGUCACAGGGUGUAGGGACACCCGAGGGUCACAGGGUGCAGGGAUACCAGGGGGUCAGAUGUUACUGGGGUCAGAGUCUCAAGGGGAACUUAAUUGGUGGGGUAAAAGGGGUCACAGGGCUCAAAUGCCCUUUGCCUUCCUGGGGUGGCCUUGGCUCUCUCCCCCCACAUCCAGCCCCCUUGGGUGCUCUGCUCCUCGAUGUAGCAGAGGAAGGUACACCGCCAUCUAAAUGCUGGGAGUUGGCAUUAGACAAACUCAGACUGGAAAUAAGUGUAAAUGUGUAACAGUGAGAGGCACAUAGGCAAUGGGGCUGCCUAACCACAUGACACAUUGAGGAUUUUUCCAGCACCUGGAGGAGAGUAUAAAAUAAGGGACAGUGACAUCACCAGGCCACCUCUUCUUCCUCCCUCCCCCCCAUAUUGAAAGUAACAAGAUUGUUUGGAAGACAUAGAAACAUUUGAACUGGGUGGGAGUGGUCCUAACUGGAAAAACUUUCCAUUUGACACAGACUGCUGUAGGGUUUUGGGGCUUUUAAUCUCAACUUCUGUGAUUCAUUGUGGAGUUACACACCUUUUGGGAGGUUGGCAAACACCCCAAUCCUCAGGUCAGCAUAAUGACACAACAGCCUGAUGCAAGCCCCUUCAUAGUGAAAUGGAGGUUCCUGUCUUCAUACCUGAUCAGUAGGAGACUGGGAGCCAGAGAAGCAACUGGAAAACCACAGAGUGACUUAAAGCUGAGAUCUACUCAGUACAGCUCCAAGUGACUCAACUGGCAAAGACAGAGGACUCUGACAAAAGAGAAAAUGGGAGGCUGCAAUCCAAACUGAUCUAAACCAUAAACUUUGAGCUGCGCAACGGACACCACUCUUGAAAUGGCUAUUUGCCUCCAGUAUCCUAGUUCCAGACAAUUUGGCUGCUUGGUCUAUUGCACGUCAUGUUCCCAGUGUAUCCUAUAUACCAGAACUAGACAUGUACAAGAAAAAAAGACCAAUGUGGCAAAGAUUUUCCUUUCUUGUUACAAUCCAUCCACUUUUACAAUGUUAACUUUUCUCGUGCUGUGAGGAGAAACUGAAAACCAGCAAUGCCCAAACCACACACAAAUUUGAGGUUUGUUUCACAGACGCACCAAAAAGCUCCCUUAAUUUUAGAGAAGGCAGCCAGCUAGAAUUGUGUGAACCUCUUAACCCUCUGGUCUUAAUGAAAAAUUCCACUCUGAGUGCUGACCUGGGAGUGGGUGGGUGUCAUAUAUGACUUGCUUGCUGCAUUCCAUUUCUUAUAAUUCUUUGGCCUUUCUGCAACAUUCCUUUCUUGGAUUUAUACCUUUUUAUGGUCUUGAAAUUCAUCUGUGGGGUUCCCUCUUCUCAUGGAACUACAAUAAAGUUGUUUUCUACUCUUUGUAUCUAGAUCUUCACUUAGCACAAAAUGGCACUGCCAGACAGAUUCCUUGUUUGAUUUACUUAACUCCACUAUUCACAUUUGAAGGUUUCUACACUUCCUAAGCACCUCAUGACUAUAAUAUCAGCUUACUAUCUGAUAUGUCCUCUCUCUGAGGAUUCUACCAUGCCUUUGCAAAAGACAGACUCAAGGAUUUAACAGGUCUCUUCAUCUCUAACUACUGAGAACUUAAGUCCAUUUAAAGAUUUUGCUUUUAUCUUAUAAGUCCCUUUUGGAUCUUAGAAAUUUUAUGGUGCAUUUUGUUCUUUUGAAGUGACGUGUGAGAUUUUCUGUCAGCAGGAAUCUGCUUCAGUCUGGUCUGGAUUUUGGGAAGGGACCCCAGCUCUAUGGGCUAGCUAGGGCAGGCCCCAAUGAACAGAAAAUGAGGGGACAACAGGGGCUGGUAAGUCUCUAACAUUAAAAUGCUUUUGUGGCAACAUCCUCAGCUGAUGUAAAUCACAAUAGCUCUAUUUAAGUCAAUGGAGCUAUGUUAGUUCACAGCAGCUGAUGAUCUGCCCAUUUAUGUUUUAAAAAGAGAAGAAAAAUCCCAAACUCAAGCAAAAUUUACCUUGUGCAGCCUGGCCUGUGGAUGGUAUCCUGGUUUGUGUCAUGCUUGAGAUGAACAGAAUGCACAAAUUAUUUCUUUCAUCUGCUGUUAAAUGUCAAAAAUGAGUAAUAGACAAAACCCUUAAAACAUAAACUAAUAUGUGAGAGACCUAAUUAAUUUAGAAAAAAGUGAGAAAAUUAGGUUUUUUAAAUUGUAUCUAAUUUAAUUAGAAUUUUACAGUCCAGUUAGCAGCAAAAGAAGACUCUGUUGUAGAAACUGUGGGUCUUUGUGAACUGACUGGCUAUGUAGUGUGCUAAGGGCUAGAAAUAAUAGGCAGAUGAAUGAUCCUUCCAAAGCAAAAUCACACAGUCCGUCCAGCUCUGUCAGAUAUUCUGUCCUAUUUGUUCUCAGAUGCUCCUGUUCACUGUAAAGUAAAGCAGAUGAUGAAGCAAUAAAAGGCAUCCAACACAAACAGCAAUUCAGCUAAACAGGGAAACAAAGAUAACUGAGAACCUGUCUCUGUCCAUAACAAAGGGAAGAACCAAGGAGAAAGCAAGUGGCCAGACGCUCCUUGUAUUUGUUAAAAUAAUGUACGAAAAUUCACAUUUUCUGCUGUGGUGCUCCCUACAAAAUCCAGGAUUGCAGAGCGAGAGUACUGUGAUUCCUGGCUUGAUGAGCACAACAGCUCCCAGGAGGUGGUGCUCCAGGGCAAGAGAUGGAGGAGGUUGGUGUAGAUGUUUUCAAACUACCUUUAAGAGAAAGGAGUCAAUGCAGGAAAAGUUUCACAGGGCUCAUUCCCUUUCCAG